AACAACUCAUUUAUCUCCCAUCUCAUUCCUUUCCAUCCGUUCCAUUUCCUUUGCUCCAAAGUUCAGUUUCUCUCAUUUCCCAUUUGCAAGCAAGAAGUGCAGAGAGAGUAGAGAAGAGAGAUUUCAGAUGUCUUGAACAAGAGAGAAGCAUCCAAAACCAAAUCAAAACCUCCAUAAUCAACCAUCUUCAUCUUCUCCACCAAAAGCUUCAUAUUUUCUAGAGAGAAAAAGAAAUGGGUGGAAGGAUAAAGCUUGGAUUAAGCUACGGAAGGAUUCAGGAGGAAGAGGAAAGGAUAAGAUCUAGCAAAUCAUUUAACAUCUAAGAAGAAGGAAUCAAAGAAGUAAGUUCAAGAAACCCUAAACUCUCAUUUUUAUCAAGCUUCAUAUCUUGUUAGAUCUUGUGGUUAUUUAGAGUUAUGGGUUGAGGAACAUUAUAAGGAUGAUGCUCAGAAGUUAUAUUAACCAUUAAAAGCAUCCAAGUGGAACCAAAAUGAAAGAAAUUCGAACCUAUGCGUAAUGGAUGGAAAGAUAUGAAAAGAACUAUAUAUGGACAAUUUAUAGACCGAGUUUGAGGAUUUUUGGGCCUAUGUUUCAUGUCUGAAAAUUUAGUUUGAAGAUAGUAUGUUGUACUCCUAUGGGUUAUGAAGAUAUCCCAAUUGAAACGAAUCAAAAAGAAAUUAAAACGAAUUUAUAGAGAAUGUUUUAGAAAACAUGUUGAAAACUAAAAAUUUGUGUACUGCUAAACCUAAGGACAAAUUUGGAGCUAGCUAGUGUUUUGAGAAAAAUUUGGGUUUUUGGGGUAGUAUAUUACACUGAAUAAGGAUUUCAUAGCCUCCUGAAUGAACACAUUCUUCGAGUUAUGGCGUUCCAAAGUAAACACAUCAAAACUGUCCAAUAGAUUCAGACUUUUAUCUGUAUGAAUUGUCUAUACUUGUGUGUUGAGAACUUGAAAAUGGUUAAAGCAUAAAAGUUAUAGUCCCGGAAGUUAGCUUCGCAUGGGCACAAGAAUCACUUAAUUUUUUUUUUGAAAUGAAUUAGUUAUGACUGUUUUAGUGAGAG
rnacentral:lncRNA from 1 species